CGUCACUAUGUGAGGGAACACGAAGGUAACUUCGUCACUAUGUGAGGGAACACGAAGGUAACUUCGUCUCUAUGUGAGGGAACACAAAGGUAACUUUGUCACUAUGUGAGAGAACACGAAGGUAACUUCGUCACUAUGUCAGGGAACACGAAGGUAACUUUGUCACUAUGUCAGGGAACACGAAGGUAACUUCGUCACUAUGUCAGGGAACACGAAGGUAACUUCGUCACUAUGUCAGGGAACACGAAGGUAACUUCGUCACUAUGUCAGGGAACACGAAGGUAACUUCGUCACUAUGUCAGGGAACACGAAGAUAACUUCGUCACUAUGUCAGAGAACACGAAGGUAACUUCGUCACUAUGUGAGGGAACACGAAGGUAACUUCGUCACUAUGUCAGGGAACACGAAGGUAACUUCGUCACUAUGUCAGGGAACACAAAGGUAACUUCGUCACUAUGUGAGGGAACACGAAGGUAACUUCGUCACUAUGUCAGGGAACAUGAAGGUAACUUUGUCACUA